AGUCGUCUGUGCCGUGGUAGUGGGUGGUGCCGUGGUGGUCGAUGCUACGCUGCUAUGGAAUGCAGUUGAUGCGGUAGGUCCGGCAGCUGUCGAUUCCGCCGUUUCAAGAACCAUCUCGGCUCCACCAUCCUCAGACUGGGUUUCGGUGACGUGAUGGCGUGCGUAUGUUUUGGCCGGGUUGUCUGGCAUGGAGGAGCGGAGCAUUGGGGUUGAGGGAGGACGGCGGCGCGGUGCAGGAACACUUGCAGUCGGAACCAGAGCUGACCGUUUCCACCGAGUAGAAGUCCUCCGCGCGCACGCUGCCGCUGCGCAGCCGCAGACAGGCGUCCCUGCUCAGCGGUCGCAUGAUGCACUUGCAGCGGCAGUCCGAGCCCUCUGAUACCAUCCGAACAGGCUCGGUCUCCCCAAAGAUCUGCAGGCUGACCUACCAGCAGGAAGACUGGUGAUGAAGAUCAUGCUGGAAUUAGCACACUUGCAGUCUUUGACUUUGACCUGUCAGGUAUUAAGUCCAAAGAAGCAACCCUCAAGCAUCAACACAAGUCUGCACAAUGGGAGGAAAAAGACCUCCAUUAGAUCAACCACUGCAGUUUUUUUUUUUAUUUCAAAGGGGAACUGCACUGUUUUGGAAUCUUGUCUAGCAUUCACAUAAGACAAAAAUACAUACAGUAUAUAUAUAUAUUUUUUGUGCAUUCGAACUUGUUAAUAAACGCUAGCAAACGUCAGCUAACGAUAGAGUUAACAGGUUUCAUUCUAUUACACCUAUAAAGUGCUCUAAAAAACAUCCCAAAACCCAUAUCUACAUUUUAUAUACACACUGUAAGUACAUAUGUAAUGUACUAUCUGUCACAUUCAAAAUAACAUGUCA